GCCCGGGUAGCUCAGUGGUAGAGCGCUUCCUUGGUAAGGAAGAGGUCGGCAGUUCAAUCCUGCUCCCGGGCUCCA
rnacentral:tRNA from 2 species